rnacentral:rRNA from 1 species
UCCGUGAUCCCGCCGGACCCACUGCUAUCGGGAUGAGACUAGACAUGCUAGUCGCGCGCUUCCAGCUAUGUGAGAGGAGCGGCGUACAGCUCAGUAACACGUGGCUAACUUGCCCUUUGGGACAAAAACACCCCCAGGAAACUAGGGCUAAUUUUCGAUAGGUGAAGAACUCUGGAAUGAGUCUUCGCCGAAAAGCCAUUUAGAUCAUGCUUCUAGAUGGCGCCCAAGGAUAGGGCCGCGACCGAUCAGGGUUGUUGGUGAGGUAAUGGCCCACCAAGCCUAUGACCGGUGCGGGCCGUGAGAGCGGGAGCCCCGGAGAUGGGCACUGAGACAAGGGCCCAGGUCCUACGGGGCGCAGCAGUCGCGAAAACUUUGCAAUACACGAAAGUGUGACAGGGUCAUCCCGAGUGCCGACCGCUGAGGUUGGCUUUUACCCAGUCUAGAAAGCUGGGGGAAUAAGGAGAGGGCAAGUCUGGUGUCAGCCGCCGCGGUAAUACCAGCUCUCCGAGUGGUGUGGACGUUUAUUGGGCCUAAAGCAUCCGUGGCUGGCUGGACAAGUCCCCUGUUAAACCCACCGAUUUAAUCGUUGGUCUGCGGGGGAUACUGCUCGGCUAGGGGACGAGAGAGGCAGACGGUAUUCCCGGGGUAGGGGUGAAAUCCUAUAAUCCCGAGAAGACCACCAGUGGCGAAGGCUGUCUGCUAGAGCGCGCCCGACGGUGAGGGAUGAAAGCUGGGGGAGCGAACCGGAUUAGAUACCCGGGUAGUCCCAGCUGUAAACGAUGCAGACUAGGUGUUUGGACGGCCACGUGCCGUUCUAGUGCCGCAGGGAAGCUGUUAAGUCUGCCGCCUGGGGAGUACGAUCGCAAGAUUGAAACUUAAAGGAAU